AGAGAGAGAGAGAUUAGAGAGAGAGAGGAAGAGAAGAAGAAGGGUUCUUCUUUUUCUUCUUGGUGUCCUGUUUAGAUCUCGUCAGAUCAGCAUGAAAUGUUCGUGCUGCAGCCCUCUUCUUCAAAUACUAGAAGAAGAAGUCCAGAUCCAAGUCAAGGAGCGAGGCCUGUAAGGAGCUAGCACUCCGGUGGCUUCGAUACUUUGAUCAGGCCAUCUCCAUGUGGAUAUCAAUAGAGACUGAAUCCUUAUGCAACUUCGAUAGAAACCACGAACAUCCAUCGGAUCCGAUCUGAGUAAUAUCAAAGGAAAGCGAUUAAGGUAAUCGUUCUUCCAUUCUAUUUUCAAUUUCAGAUUUGAUGCAUAAAUUUAUUUCGAGUAUGCUAAUAGUUCCUUAGGUGAUUUAGUAUUAGAUCCAAGCAUGCCUUGGAUUAAAAUUAUUUUAAUCUUAUCUUUCCACUGCGUAUGUUCAUGAAAUGAAAAAU
rnacentral:lncRNA from 1 species